UGCAUAAGAAAUCAGCUGUUCAAGUUCAAUGUAGCACCGCCUGGUGGUGAUGCUGUAAACGUUGAAUGAAAAAAGACGAAAUACAUUUGGUGUUACAAUUUUAUCGUGUGAUUGGAUGAAUUUCUCAAAUCGUGUAAUUGACGCAAUGUGAUCCACGAUUUAGUCGAGAAUCAUGUUUCUAAAUUAUAUCUGUGUGAUCCAUGUUAUUGAGUAACAGGAUUCGGCUUAGAAGUUAUCGCGUUCUUUCAGAUUGAAUAACCACGGUUUUCAAUCAUACAUGACGACGGAUAUCCGAGAAAAUCUAUUUUUUGUUAAUUGCUUUCCUAAAGAUCUAUCAAAGCGUAGAUGAUGAUGACGUUAGCCUCAGUUCAGUUGAUCCAGGAAGGUUACCCUUUAACAAAUGAACGAACGAUAAGGAUGAUUAUUGUGCAUCGUCAAAAGAGAACCUAUUCCAAUUUUAGACGAGUGUAUAAAUCACGAUAUCCCGCCAUCCCACUCGUUGUUUUCUAGCCAGUGAACGAUAGUAGAGGAUGAUCCAUCCACGUGGAUCGCCCACAUGAGUCAGCACGUACAUUGAAUGAAAAACAUGACAAAAAUUUUUUUUCAAAAGAAGAGAAA